UCCACAGCUGGCUCCACUGCCACUCAUGCUCCCAGCGUAGAAUGGCACUUCUCUUCGGUCGUCGUAAUGGCGAUACUUCGAUGGUCCACCGCUGCUUAUGCCGGUCGUGCCGCGAUCCCUGCCGUGUUUGGACGCAACUGCUCCCUACGUCGGGCACCUCGGAUUGGGAACGAAUACCGUCGACGCAAGCGCAUCAAAGGAUAAAUUGGAGCCAGCCACCAGCAUCGUCGGAACGACACCGCUGCAACCAUGCCCUGCUGACAACUGCAUUUGUUACAGCACGCGGCCACGCUGUUAUGGUCCAUGGAACUGAUACGAAACAUCACUCCGAAGCCGAAAUCAGAAAUGCAUCUGGGCAAAUCCCGACUGUCACCAACACUGCUGUGCUACCAAGCUCGGGCCACGUCCCAGAGCGAAAGCUCUGGAACCUGGGCUACGUCCUAGCACCGCGUCCGCUGAACCUGAGCCUGGCCGUUGGUCUGCAGCUUGAACCACGCUGUGCUGAUAUUCAUACUAUUAUAUGUAAUUGCUGGUUGGCUACAUCAUCCUCUUUCUAAAAGCACCGGCUUUAAAUAACGCAAGGAGGCAGAUGCAAUGACACAAGGAUGUCUAAGAGCAGCCCAACAUGACUUCACGUGGUGCAGAGUACCGCACUUCAAGCAAUCAAAAUACAUUGUCAUGCAAUUGGACAAGAAAACUAGAAUAUCAAAAUCAAAAUCAAAAUCAUGUUUAUUUUUCCAAAGAACUUUGGAAGGGGGCCCGUACAAAAAGUGGAAGCUAGUCCACUUGACGGGGGUUCGGGCCCCCUUUUACAAGGCACAGCGAAGGUAACAAGUCGACAAAUAAACAAUAGAAUCAAUUAUACAUAACAAGAUAAUAACUUUUUUACAAUAGCACAGCCGUACAAGUGAGACGAAAACAAUCUUAUCAACAUAUAAGUGAAUUUUACAUUUUCUUAUACAGUUGUUA